rnacentral:rRNA from 1 species
AGCAGCCGCGGUAAUUCCAGCUCCAAUAGCGUAUAUUAAAGUUGUUGCAGUUAAAAAGCUCGUAGUUGAAUUUCGGGAUCAGUAUGUUGGUCGUGCUUCGGUACGUACUGUCAUUACUGGUUUCUCCCUUCUGAAGAACCUUGAUGUCAUUAAUUUGGUGUCUUGGGGAAUCAGGACUGUUACUUUGAAAAAAUUAGAGUGUUUAAAGCAGGCAUACGCUUGAAUACAUUAGCAUGGAAUAAUGAAAUAGGACGUUUGAUUCUAUUUUGUUGGUUUCUAGGAUCGACGUAAUGAUUAAUAGGGAUAGUUGGGGGCAUUAGUAUUCAAUUGUCAGAGGUGAAAUUCUUGGAUUUAUUGAAGACUAACUACUGCGAAAGCAUUUGCCAAGGAUGUUUUCAUUAAUCAAGAACGAAAGUUAGGGGAUCGAAGACGAUCAGAUACCGUCGUAGUCUUAACCAUAAACUAUGCCGACUAGGGAUCGGAUGAUGUUAUUUUUAAUGACUCA